AAGCGCGACAAGGUUAUCCGAGUGCUUCCUGCUAAAGGAAUCUUUUGUUAAUCGUAAAACCACUAAUGAAUAAGGGGUGGGCAAGAUCGGGUGCCACCACCCCCGGUAAA
rnacentral:rRNA from 1 species